rnacentral:rRNA from 1 species
CCUGAUGCAGCAACGCCGCGUGAGCGAUGAAGGCCUUCGGGUCGUAAAGCUCUGUCCUCAAGGAAGAUAAUGACGGUACUUGAGGAGGAAGCCCCGGCUAACUACGUGCCAGCAGCCGCGGUGAUACGUAGGGUGCGAGCGUUGUCCGGAUUUAUUGGGCGUAAAGGGCUCGUAGGUGGUUGAUCGCGUCGGAAGUGUAAUCUUGGGGCUUAACCCUGAGCGUGCUUUCGAUACGGGUUGACUUGAGGAAGGUAGGGGAGAAUGGAAUUCCUGGUGGAGCGGUGGAAUGCG